AAGUCGUAACAAGGUUUCCGUAGGUGAACCUGCGGAAGGAUCAUUAACAGAGUAAUGCCCCCCUUAAAAAGGGGGUAAAUACCUCCAACCCUAUGUUUACUUUACCCUUAUGUUGCUUGGCGGGUCGUAAGGCCUUAGUUUAAGGCUUUCCACCGGCUUUGGUUGGUGAGUUACCCGUCAAUAGACCUAAAAACUCUGAAAUAUAAAAAGUUAUUGUCUGAGUAUUUAUAUAAUAAAGUUAAAAACUUUCAACAACGGAUCUCUUGGUUCUG
rnacentral:misc_RNA from 1 species